CACAUGCAAGUCGAACGGUGACCUCUAGAGCUUGCUCUUGGGUGAUCAGUGGCGAACGGGUGAGUAACACGUGAGUAACCUGCCCCAGACUCUGGAAUAACCCCGGGAAACCGGAGCUAAUACCGGAUACGAGACGGAGCCGCAUGGCUACCGUUUGGAAAGUUUUUCGGUCUGGGAUGGACUCGCGGCCUAUCAGCUAGUUGGUGAGGUAACGGCUCACCAAGGCGACGACGGGUAGCCGGCCUGAGAGGGCGACCGGCCACACUGGGACUGAGACACGGCCCAGACUCCUACGGGAGGCAGCAGUGGGGAAUAUUGCACAAUGGGCGAAAGCCUGAUGCAGCGACGCCGCGUGAGGGAUGAAGGCCUUCGGGUUGUAAACCUCUUUCAGCAGGGAAGAAGCGAAAGUGACGGUACCUGCAGAAGAAGCACCGGCUAACUACGUGCCAGCAGCCGCGGUAAUACGUAGGGUGCGAGCGUUGUCCGGAAUUAUUGGGCGUAAAGAGCUUGUAGGCGGUUUGUCGCGUCUGCCCGUGAAAAUCCGGGCUCAACCCCGGACUUGCGGUGGGUACGGGCAGACUAGAGUGUGGUAGGGGAGACUGGAAUUCCUGGUGUA
rnacentral:rRNA from 1 species